GUGGGGAAUCUUGCGCAAUGGGCGAAAGCCUGACGCAGCGACGCCGCGUGAGUGAUGAAGGCCCUCGGGUUGUAAAGCUCUGUGGGGAGGAAAGAAUAAGUGCGUUCUAAUCAGCGCAUGAUGACGGUACCUCCUUAGCAAGCACCGGCUAACUCUGUGCCAGCAGCCGCGGUAAGACAGAGGGUGCAAACGUUGUUCGGAAUUACUGGGCGUAAAGCGUGUGUAGGCGGUGAGGUAAGUCGGAUGUGAAAGCCCAGGGCUCAACCCUGGAAGUGCACUCGAUACUGCUUCGCUUGAGUACUGGAGAGGUUGGUGGAAUUCUCGGUGUAGAGGUGAAAUUCGUAGAUAUCGAGAGGAACAUCUGUGGCGAAGGCGGCCAACUGGACAGAUACUGACGCUGAGACACGAAAGUGCGGGGAGCAAACAGG
rnacentral:rRNA from 1 species